UGGAAAGCUUUUAUGCUCCUCAGUGAUGUGGGUUACAAGGCAGACAGCUUCAGAUCUGUCCUUGUGAGACGUUUUUCCUCAAAAAGCGUUAUGCCACAAAUGUCUGACAACAGUGACGUUCCAAAAUUGAGAGAGCAGCUCCAGAGAUAAUAGAUUCUGAAUAUUGAACCAUGAUAUGAAGCCCAGUCACACUAUCACAGUGGAUCUCAACUGGCGGAUCACAACCUGAAAAAGAGGGACAGAUCUAUUCUGCUGCUGCUUCUGACUUCCGAAAGGCGAACAGUGGGUCAUGUCCUGGCAGCUGUGGGCUGGAGCGAAGCCUCCCAGGUGACGGAGAGUUUUGCACAUUGGGCAGGGAUACUCAGCCAGACCUUCAAUGUCCUCAAAAGCCAGGUUGACGAUCUGAUCGGAGCAGGGGUCGCAGUAGAGGUGGCCGCAGGAGAGACGCUUCAGCCGGGCCUCGUAGGAGAUGCAGCACUGGCAGUGAGGAACAUCAGAGUUCAGAGACAGACUACCGGUCAGAGAACUGCUCUCCAUGCUAGCAGCCCGACUCGAGCCCAGCUUUGUGGAUGACCUGCAGGACCAUAGGACAGAAAAAUCACAGAUGAGAUCUCUUUAGUAUUUGAAUUGUUUCUAUGUAUUGCUGGGAAACUGGUAAAUGCCAGGAAAAUACACAUAAUGUAUAGCUUCGGGACAGAGGGUUUCGAUAUAAAAUCAAGUAUUUCUCAUCAAAACAGACCACACUGAAAAUAUG
rnacentral:lncRNA from 1 species